rnacentral:rRNA from 1 species
GAGUUUGAUCCUGGCUCAGGAUGAACGCUGGCGGCGUGCCUAACACAUGCAAGUCGAGCGAAGCAUACAGGAGGAAGUUUUCGGAUGGAAUCCUGCAUGGCUGAGCGGCGGACGGGUGAGUAACGCGUGGGUAACCUGCCUUAUACAGGGGAUAACAGUUAGAAAUGACUGCUAAUACCGCAUAAGCGCACAGUACCGCAUGGUAGUGUGUGAAAAAACUCCGGUGGUAUAAGAUGGACCCGCGUCUGACUAGCCAGUUGGCGAGGUAACGGCUCACCAAGGCGACGAUCAGUAGCUGGUCUGAGAGGAUGAUCCACCACACUGGGACUGAGACACGGCCCAGACCCUCGG